rnacentral:rRNA from 1 species
CUACGGGAUGCUGCAGUGGGGAAUAUUGCACAAUGGGCGCAAGCCUGAUGCAGCCAUGCCGCGUGUAUGAAGAAGGCCUUCGGGUUGUAAAGUACUUUCAGCGGGGAGGAAGGGAGUAAAGUUAAUACCUUUGCUCAUUGACGUUACCCGCAGAAGAAGCACCGGCUAACUCCGUGCCAGCAGCCGCGGUAAUACGGAGGGUGCAAGCGUUAAUCGGAAUUACUGGGCGUAAAGCGCACGCAGGCGGUUUGGUAAGUCAGAUGUGAAAGCCCCGGGCUCAACCUGGGAACUGCAUCUGAUACUGGCAAGCUAGAGUAUCGUAGAGGGGGGUAGAAUUCCAGGUGUAGCGGUGAAAUGCGUAGAGAUCUGGAGGAAUACCGGUGGCGAAGGCGGCCCCCUGGACGAAGACUGACGCUCAGGUGCGAAAGCGUGGGGAGCAAACAGGAUUAGAUACCCCCGUAGUC